GAGUAGGGUGAGGGUGGGGGUAGGAGCCUAGGAUGAAUAAGAAGCCUAGAGGAGCUCAGAGUAGAGGAAAGAGCUGGAAUGUUGGUGUAGUUGUGGUGAACUUGGUCAUCAUGGUUAUAUAGUUGAGAGAUCCCCCCCCCCCAAUUGUUCCCUUUCUGGCAGGGAAAUAUGUCCUGAGAAGUGCUGGUGUUCCCAGGAGGUGACAUGUUCCUCACCUCCAGAGGGCAAGCAUGUCCUUCCCACCUUCCAUGAAUACCCAGGCUCACUGUGAAACCAGAGCAUGGAUGGCUUCUGUGUGCUUUCCUGGGCACCAAGAAAAUCAAUCGGGGAUGAAAAUGGAGGGGAAAAGUGGGGAGUCAGGAGAAGUCAGGUCAUAUAUGCCAGUUGUGAUUCUGUUUUCCUGGAAGCAGUGGGAAUGUGCAGUCUUCUCCCUUGUGACUCCAGCUCAGCUUCGUUGCUGGGCCUGCAUCCUCCUCCUCUGCACCAUCCUUGACCAGCCACUCUGGCCUUCUGCCCUUGCAAAGAUGCCUGGGUAAUAAGUUUAUGCAUUUUCCCCAUAGGCCUAAACAGUCAUCACCUUUCAGCACAGUGAAUCAUUGUGAUGCUAUCUCCUUUUAAAUUUGUGUUUAUGGCAUAAAAUCAGCACAGCUGUGGGCCAUAUGAAAGUAUUGGAGUGGCCUCUCGCAGGGACCUAGCACCCUGCCCCUGGUCCCUGAAGGUGUGAGAGGAAGCAUGGACCCCAGUCUAGGGUCAUAGACAUCAACAGGUGAUGGUUUUUGUAUUUCAUGGACUGAGGGGAGUCUGGGAGGAUUUCCUGUGGGAAACGGCACCAGGAAAAGCCCAAGUUCCUGGUUUUAUAACCAAGAGGCGAUGAUCCUCCUUAUGCACUCUGUAAAGGACAUUUCUUUUUAAGGACUCAUAAAUAUAAAUAAGCACAUAUGAAUUUUUUUUUUAAGGAUUUUAGUUCAUUGGUUGAGGGAGGUGGAAAGGUUAACAACCAAUUCAAAGGAGAAAUCAAAAGGAAGCAACAGUCAACAUGGAGGAAAGCUAUGCCAGAAUGGAUUCUCAAUACAAAAGGACCUGCUGAAUCAAUCCCAUUUGGGUAUGCUCAAUGCACAUCUCUCCACAAGAAUAAGUCGACGUUAACUCUGCAGCAUAGUUAUAAAAUACCUCAAGGGGACAGCAGUCUAGAUUCAGACUCAGCUGUUAGGGUAUGCCCUGAAAGGCACAGGUUUUCAUUGGUGACAACCAGAAACUUUGUUUAUUCCAGAUUUCUUCCCAGCCCUAUCUGGCCAAAUCCAGGAGUGACCUUUACAUCAGUGGGACUCUGGAAAGGAAGUGCUUCUCCUAUAAUGGUCAAGCCACCUGGUCUGAAAGUCACCCCGAGAUAUACUAAUGCUUUACGCUGCCCCUCGGGACGCUUGAGCAUCCCUCCCCCGACCCUUCUGCGCUGUUUCUGCAGAAGACUCUGCAUCAUCCAUGGUAGAAUCUCUUUUCGAACACAGCUGCAUUUUGAGGUUUCUUCAAGCUGUCAACAUGUGAGGACUUGAAUGUUCAAAGAAUCUCAGAUGUAGGGGUUCCCAGCCUGGCUGGUGAAUCCUCUUCCGUCCCUGCAGCCCAGUUCUUAGAACUAGCAAAGACAUGCAUUUUAAAGUAUGUUUUUAUUCUUCGAUAAUUUUAUAUAAUGUGUUUUGGUCAUAUCUUCCCCACUCCUCCCAGAUCCCCAACUUCUCUUUAAUCCACCGAGUCCACUGUGUGCUGCUCAUGUUCUCAUGAGUGUGGGGUCACUCCAGUGGAGUGUAAUCAAUCUAGCAGGAGCGGAAACCAUCCAUGAAAGCUGACCCUGGAGGGAAGAAGCCAUUAGCUGUGACUAGUGCUAAGUAAGGGGUGGUGCUUGUGAACUCCUCCCACUAUGCAUCAGUGUUGAUUGGCUUGCUUUUCUGGAGGUCUUGUAUAGGCAACCACUGCUGAGUUCACAAUGGUCCAGUCAUGUCCAAAAGAUACCAUUUUUCUCUCUGCUCCUUCCUGACCUCUGACUCUCACAGUCUUUUUUCUUUCUUUUCUUUUUUUUUAAUUGGACAUUUUCUUUAUUUACAUUUCAAAUUUUAUCCCCUUUCUGCAUUUCCACUCCGAAACCCCCCUAUCCCAUUUCUCCUCCCCCUGUUCACUAACCCACCCAUUCUUGCUUCCCUGUCUUGGUAUUCCCUACACUGGGGCAUCGAGUCUUCACAGGACCAAGGGGGCCUCUCCUCUCAUUUAUAUCCCACAAGGCCACCUGCUACAUAUGUGACUGGCUCUCACGGUCUUUCUGUCCCUCUUUCAUGAUUGUCCCUGAGUUUUGAGGGGGCAGAUGGAGGAGGGCACUGACAUGACUUUCUUCAUUUUAUAUGAGAGGAAGCAGAUUCAGAUUACAGAACUUGUGGAUGCCAUGAAGCCGGGAAGUGUUGUAUAAAUCAUCCCGAUUUACAGCCAGGAUUUCCUCUCCAAGGACUGUUCUCCCUCCCUAUUGGUGGCACUCAUAGGACACAAUCAGAGAUCAAAGGGCAUCAGCGGGCAUUGGAGGGAGACGUUGGCACUACAUAAAGUGAAUAAAGGUCAGAAAGUGAGAAUCCUGUCCUUGGCAAAGGGGGAAGAAAUGCUAUAAUUUCAACACUGGGAAUAAGACAAUGAUGCUCACAAUGUGAUCCCCACACUAGUAGCUUCAGCAUCACACUACAACUUGUACAAGUACAAAUAUUACAGCUUGUAAAAAAUACAGAUUUGAUGGUCCACCAGGUUUGUAGAGUCAUACUCUGGUGGAGCUCAGGUUUCAGGUGACUGAUACAGAAGUUUGGAAGCUGUCAUGCAUGAUUUGAGUGAGAAGAUUAACCACUAAACACCUCCAAGACCUGAGUGGAUUUGGAAAACGAUAGUUUAUUUCUUACUGUAGGGUAUGCUUGUGAGUGCUCUGCUCUGCCACCUCUCAGACAACCCAGGCUCCUUCUGUUCUGUGCUCCACCUCCUGCGUCUCCUUAUUGCUGGUUAGGAACGGAGUGCGGACCAGAGAGGAGCUAGGCUCACUUUUCACCAUUCAAGACAUUCACCUUCAGGGGCUUCUAUAUCAAGGAUCCCGGGCUUCCUAUUCCAUAAACUGGUACAGGCAUGAAGGAUCACCCAUGAGCAGACAAUGCACUUCCUCCUCUAGAAUGAUUUUUUUUCUGCUGUUUCUGGCUACCCGCAAUGUGGCAAAGGAAAAGGGCUCUCACAGUCUUUUCUUCCUUUCUUUCUUUCUUUCUUUCUUUCUUUCUUUCUUUCUUUCUUUCUUUCUUUCUUUCUUUCUCUCUCUCUCUUUUAUUUUUUUAAUUAGAUAUUUUCUUUAUUUACAUUUCAAAUUUUAUCCCCUUUCUGCAUUUCCACUCCGAAACCCCCCUAUCCCAUUUCUCCUCCCCCUGUUCACUAACCCACCCAUUCUUGCUUCCCUGUCUUGGUAUUCCCUACACUGGGGCAUCGGAAUUCCUGCUUAAUCUCCAGUAGAACCUACAUCCAGCAAGGAAGUGUUGGAUGACUGAAUUCAAGGGGCCAGGAGGAUUCCCUGGGAGAAACGGCACCAGGAGAGGCCCACGUUCCUGGUUCUUUGUGCCACUUCCUGACCUUCUCUACGGACCCCAUGGUAAGAUCGUGGGGUCUCCAGAUUCCAGCUGUGGUAGACAGCUGGGGUCAGAACACAUUGGUUGCCUAGGUCAGAUUCUUCCUUAAGGAAAAAGUAGUUUACAGGUUUCCUAUGUAGGGAAGAAUAGUGGGGGGUAGUAAAUUAGGGAGCCAGUGAGGGUCAUGAUGUUAUCUCUGCAACAAGCCAGUCUUUCCUACUGCAUAGAGUUUCUUGCUCUGCAAGGAAUUUUGAAGGCCAUCAGCCACAGAUGGUAACUAGCAAACAAAACAACACCCAAAAUCAACCAAACAAAACCCAGUCAACUUUUCCUAAUGUUCGUGGAUGGACCUGAAUCAGAGUCACAUGCCCAUUUAGCACACAAGACUUUCUUUUAACAAGGACAAUGUGGGGUUUGCUCAGGGGAGAGAGCUGGUGGGUUCAGCCCACGUCUGAUUAUUCUGAUUUAACAUAUCAAGGAGCCAGGCCCUUCAGAGUGCAUCAGAAGAUCCAAAUUCACAAGGUCACUGUGUGUGCCCGACUUCCUCAUACUCACCAUCUCCAUCCAGUUAAUGAGUGACUUGACUGCUUACCUGUAUACAGUGGAGGAAACUAAGUUACGAAAGAGGACUGCCUAGGAGGCCUUGGGCUAUGCAAGUCUGGUUGGCUUUCAGCCUUGAACUCUCUCUAUAUAUCUAUAUAUAUGUGCAUAGCACAUGCAUACUACAAAAUUUGUGUGUGAACUUUGGGGGUUGGCUCUCUCCUUCCACCAUAUGGGAAUUGAACUCAGGUUGUCAGGGCUGGGGACAAAGCUUUUAUACACUGAGCCAUCAUCUUCACUACUCCCAACAUACUCCUUGUUUUCAAGAUAGUGUUCCACUGGCCUGGACCUUAUCAAAUAAGCUAGUCUGGCUGGUCACCCUCAAGGGUCUGCUUGUCUCUGUCUUCCCAGAAUUGGAAUUACAGGUGUACAUGCCACCACAUCUCCAUUUUUUUUUUUUUUUUGAAAUACUAUGGAUUCUGGAGUGAAAAACUCAGGUCCUCAUGUUUACAAAGCAAACACUUUACUGACUGUUGCGUCUCUCCAGGCCAAUAAUGGGUCAUGCUUGUGUUGGAAUUGCUGCUCAAUAACUGACAGACCAUACCAGGCCAAUGUAGUUUCAUGUGGCAGAGGUUGAUUGUGGGGGCAGAGGCAAAGAGGGAGUGACAGAGACAAAGGGAAAAAGAGAAGAAAGAGGAGCGAAGGUCAGGAAGGCUCUGCCUUUUAUUUAGCCUGUGACAGAAGUGCUCACAGAUAAAGGUGGGAAGUGGACUCUGGAAAUGCAUGCAAUUGCCGUGGCAAUAGAGGCACAGGUCCCGAUCGCCAGUGGGUGACGUCACUGGGUUUGGAGCCAAUCUGCAAAGCGGGUUCAAUGCUGAUGAUGAAUGUGGUACAUACCUAGGCACCCUUAAAUGUAGCUAGAUAUCCUAUCGUCGAAGAUGUCCACUUUGCUUAUCCACCCCUACAGGUUAAAGUUGUUCCCAGGGUUUUGUGUUUUAUGCAUGGUUCCUAUGUAGGAAGGAUCUUCUUUUCUCGGAGGAUAUUCUAAGUAUUGAUUGCACAUAUACAGGUGUAGGAACAUUGAAGAUUUUCCUGCCUCCCCCCAGUGGAGACAAGGUCUUUUAUAUAACCUAGACUGGACUAAGCUUUUGGUCCUCCACUUCGGCCUCCCGAGUGCUGGGAUUAUAGUCAUGCGCCCUGUUGCCUGGUCAGGUUUCUUAUGUUUGUUACUGUUACUAUGCUUAGUAGCGGUGGGAUAGAAAUUGCUGUUGUCUUUCACAGAGCUCUGGGUCUGUACAAGUAAGAUCUUGAAAGCAGCUUCCUCAGUGCCAUUGUUCCAGGGCCGGUGGGAAGUAAGUAAGCAGGACUGUCCUGCCACUGGCCUUUCAGUGGUUGUUCACAUGGGCUUGCCUGUGGCCAGGAUGGUGGAGUCCUCUAGCCCUCACUGCCUUGUUGGGGACAUAUGUUCAGGGAUGACUGAGAAGCCAAGGCAAGUAGUUUCUGGCAGGGCCAUUCAUCCGUCUUCCCUUGACUACAGGGUCCAAGUAACCAGCAACUGAACGCCACAGCAUUUGCUCAAACUCUGCUCAAUUCAACCUGGGAAGUUCUUUCCUCAUCUCCCCGCCUCCUUGUUUUGAGUCAGGGUCUCAUGUAGUCCAGGCCAUUCUCAAACCUGACAAAAGCUAACUCUGACUCUGAACUCUUGGUUUUCCCACCAUCGCUGCUCACGUUCUGAGAUUAAAAGUGCGCAACACACCAUUCCUACUUUACAUGAUACUGAGUAUCAAGCCCAGGAUUUUGUGUGUGUUUAAAAAAUGACAACAGAAGUGCCUCCCCAGCCUUUCCUUCUUUUCUAUGGAUGUUUAUCCAGGACUACUCAGCAGUGUUCCUUCUACACCGUGAAGCAGACGAAAACACCUGCUGGUGGUUGCUUAUUAUCUAGCAGGGAGACAGACAAAAAUACAGCAACAAAUCAAUAAGUAAAGUAGUGGUUUACAAAGUUCAAUGCUAAGGAAAAACACAGAGCAGAGGAAGCGAGUGGGGAGAGCCGUGAGUGCAGGGUAAUGAACAAACUGAGCUGGUCUGAGAACGUAGAUCCAUACAAGAGCCCAUACACGUAAAGACCUGGGUUUGAGUUCCAGCAUGGCGAAAGAACAGGAUUCAUAUGAACCAAGACUCGGAUUCGCUAAGGAGCCAAGUGGGUCCCAGGCAGACUGAUAAGCCAAUAUUGAGGUGCUAGGGAUGUGGUGUUUGAUGUGUGCACUGAGUAGUCAGGUAGUGAUCGGCCCAGGGUGAGGCCAGCAGGCUGCAGUCAGUGAGACUGGUGGGAGGGGCCAUCCGUGCAGAUCACUGGGGAUUUUGAGAACCCUGUGAGGACCCGGGUUUAGACUUUAGUAACUGGGGUUUGCUCAGGAAAAUAGCAUGCAUUGACUUGUUUUAAAAGCAGAGUUGGAGAUGUGCUUAAGCCCCGACACAAGUCUCAUAAAACUGAGUGUGGUGGCACAUGCCAGUAAAUUCAAUCCUUGGAAAGGGUCAGAUGUUCAGGGACCCCAGCUACACAGCUAGUUCUAGGCCAGUAUGAGGUACGUACAUCUAAGGGGGUAUGGAGGGGCAUAUCCCUGCAACCUCCUUCCAGUGCCUUCUCUUUAACACUUCCUCUCAGAAACUCUCAAAGCUUUUCUCCUGCUCAGGAACCCAGGUGCCCUCCUGACUUCCCCAGGGUAGGGAAGCCUGGCUUUGCCUUCAGGGAUCUUUCUAGUAGUGUUCCUCAUGUAGGCUGAAUUCCAGGUGUGGUGUUUGUAGAGCACAUUUUAGGAAUUUGAAAUACAUUUGACUUUAAUCAUAUGUGUUAUAUAAGACCAUCUAACUUACUGUAUAGCAGUCAAUCCCCUAUUUUCUAAGAAGAAACCAAUUAUGUGUGUAAUUUUCUGUAUGCUUCUCUUUGUUUACACAGAAAUAAUCAAACAUAAUUUCUCUCAUCAUUUCUGCCCUCUCCCAAGUCUACUUCCCAGGGGUCCAAACACAUUUUUAAAACAAAUCACACUAUGGACAUAUCCCUCGUUUUUUGCCUUUCCACUCUUACUGCCCUGGGUGUUUUCCCCUCCUCCAAACAACUGAUGUCAUCAUCGUUCUUCGUGACAAGAAUAAUGUUUCCCAGCUUAGGGACAUCCAGGUGGUUUCCAGAAACUUGCACAACAGACUUGUCCGGCAAGAAACGGCGUCAGUUUGCAACAGGGACCACUUCGGCCAAUGAAAAAUAAAACCAAAAUAUAACCUGUCUGAAGAUGCUGCUGCGUUCCAGUCCGGCUGCACCUGGCGUGCAGUGCUAGGGUUGUGGUCCAGUUCGGUCGGCAGGGGGCGCGCCAAGCCAGACGCAGCUUCCAGGAACACGUGGAUAAGAGCACUCAAGGAGCCCAGAGUGGCGGAACCGCCCCCUUAGUGUUCCAGAAAUCUGACACAGCCCGUGGCUGGGUCAGGUUCACGUAUUUGGUAUCAAUUGGCCUCCUGCCCCACUGACCUGGGAUUGCUAGGGAGCGCUCCUCCCCCGCAAACAGAGCCUCAGUAGCACUAAUGGAGUAAUUUCUCCUAUUCGUUUACAAAUCCCAGGACGCCACUGCUUUCAAAGGCCUGGAACCAUUCCUCUGCUUUUAAUAGUGUUUUCUCUGCCUUCUAUCCUGUUCUUUUAAGAAUCUGGGGACACAGAGGCUAGAUGUCCUUCCUGCCUUUGGUUCACCAGUGUCCCAAUUUGCUUCCCUAUUGCCUGGGAUAAAACGCCGACCAAAACCGGCUUGAGAGAGGAAAAGGGACUGGCCUGAGAGGAGGGUGUCUGGCUGCCACAUUCGUUUUUGACCCUGUGGGCUUAACUGGAGAGACUCCGCUUGGUUCUGCUUACUUUUGUGUCAGUCUUGCAGAGAGAGACAGAUUCAGACUCCGGGUCUCUACCAUUUCUCUUGGUUUCCGGAUCCCUCUUCCAUCCCUAGGGAAGUGGAGAAACUGAUACCACCAAUCCAACCUGCUCACAGUGCCAGAUCUUGCCUGUUUUCUCCGGAUAGGGUUGCAGCUUUAAACUACGAAGAGGAUGUCAAAUUUGAAAUCUGGGUGGAGCGCUGCUGCGGCAGCCUACUGGCUGCAUAGCCCGAGGCAUGCACUACCUUCCUGGGCUUUCCUGUCUGGAUAAAAGGACACCUAUGAACAGCUCUGCAAGCAAGCUUAUUAGAAAGGGAGCCUCGGGUCUCAGCAAGAGCAGCUCCUACCCACCUCAAAGCAGAAGCCUGGACAUUUGUAUUAAAGCAGACUAGCAAGGACUUGGACAACAAAGAUAUCAACAACAACCUCCCAAAUGGCCCACUGGGGAGGCCUGUCUUUAAGCACAUGCAGAGUUUAAAAGUCUGCUCUAGGGAAAGGAAAUGAUGUCAUCUUUAUGGUCAUGAGCACUGUGGUAAGCAUCAUGCUGCAGCAGAUCCUGCAGGACAUGUACAUCGACCCGGAGCUGUUGGCCGAGCUCAGCGAUGUGCAGAAGCACAUCCUCUUCUAUAAGAUGCGAGAGGAGCAGCUGCGGCGAUGGAGGGAACGGGAGGCGUGGGAUGCCCUGGCUCAGGCAGAGGGCCUGAGGCCCGCAAAGGUCAAGAGAGCGAGCAACAAGCAUCUCCAGUGGCUUCUGGGAGCAGAUGGUGAGGUCUGGGUGUGGGUCAUGGGCGAAGGCCCUGGAGACAAGCCCUACGAAGAGAUAUCUGAAGAACUGAUUGCAGAGAGGGCCCGGCUGCAAGCACAGAAAGAGGCUGAAGAGCUCUGGAGACAGAAGGAAGCAGAGAUCACCAAGAAGUUCCGGGAUGCCUUGGCCAAUGAGAAAGCUCGGAUUCUGGCAGAGAAGUGGAAAGUGGAGAUGGAGGACCGCAAGGCUGCUAAAAUUUUGGAGGAACGUAUACACGAGGAAUUCAAGAGGAAAGAGGAAGAAGAGAGGCGGCGAGGGGAAGAACAGAUUCGGCUCCAAGAGGAGCAGAGGGCAAAGGAACUCUACUGGACUCUGAAGCAGGCCCAGCUGCACAGCCAAGCCAGUGAGAAUGAGGAGCGUGAAUGGGAAGAACAGCUGCGGAGAUCCAAGGCUGCUGAUGAAGAGAGGAGCCGUCGUGCUCAGCGAGCCCGGGAUGAGUACCGGCGCCAUUCACUCCGAGCCAUCCAGAAGGGCACUGUUGCUGGCCUAAGCACCAUGUUCCAAGAGCUUGGCCAGAACCACGAGCAAGAGGCAAGACUUUAUCACCAACUUCCUGACACCAGUCCACCAUCACCCCUCACAGGACCUGACAGGACCUGGGAGCGACCUCUGCGUCCACUCUCCAGAGAAGUCAUCGUGCGCUGGUUCAAGGAGGAACAGCUGCCUCGCCGAGCAGGCUUUGAGAGGAACACCAAGUCCAUCGCCCCUUGGUUUCAUGGAAUUAUUAGCCGAGAGAGUGCAGAAGACCUUCUGGAGAAUAUGACCGAGGGAGCAUUUCUGGUCCGGGUCAGUGAGAAGAUCUGGGGUUAUACCCUGUCCUACCGCCUGCAGAGAGGCUUCAAACACUUCCUUGUGGAUGCUUCUGGGGACUUCUACAGCUUUCUGGGAGUGGACCCUAAUCGCCAUGCCACCCUAACAGAUCUCAUUGAUUUCCACAAGCAGCAGCAGCAACAAUAAUACCACCACCACCACCUGCCACCCAAAAUCAGAGUUAAAGAAGAAGAGAAGAAAGGACAGAAGAGAAAACUAUUCAUUCAGAGAUGCCUGGGCUCAGAGUACUGCUGUGGAUCUGGACUAGGAGGAGAUCAUCACUGUUUCAGGGGGAGAGUUGCUACAGGAACCCUGUGGACAGAGGGAUAGCCCACCAGACUAUCACCUGUUGUUUGAAUGAUUUUUCCCCUCCUCUUUGGACUCCUUUGAGUAUCCUGAUUUUGAACUGAGCUUAAGAAUAUCCAAACUCAAAGCCUCAUGACGUUUUGGAAGAUCCACCAUUCUUCAGAUGAACAAUUAUAUUAGUAAGCCUCCAGAAUGUGACCUAUAAAACGUGACUGCAUUCGUGAGACUGUUCCCAUUCCAAAGUUCAAGACAGAAACCUCGAAUAAUGAUGCUCCUGGAGGCCUGUCUGUCAUGGCUGUGCUAAGUUGAAUUCCUAGGGUGAAUGGGUCAUAUUUUAAUAACCCAAAGCAAAUCCAGUGCCGAACCUCCCACUUAAUGUAGGGCCAGCACUCAAUAAGUCUUUGUUGAAUGAAUGCCCUCCUAAAAAACUCCUAACACUGAUGGUUUCUAGCAAAUUACUUUGUAUAUUACUUCAUAAAGUCACAGAGAUAGCAGACCAGGCUUGUGACUAACUUACAUGGAAGACACACAUGUUAUAUCUUUCCUAGUAUUCAUGAACUUGUUGAUAUUCUCAUGGGCAUUGCUCAAGGUUGUUAUGUUUGACUUUCAGUAUGGGAUAUUGGUGUUGUGCUGGCUGCUUGGUUUGACUACUUCUACCUCUCUCUUAUGUCUCAUCUUACAUGUGGCUCUGGUUUUGCAAAUUGAGGUAAUGAUGUCAUGUAAAUGCGCAGAAUAUCUGGAAUGGAUUAUAAACCCAAGGAUAGUGUUUAGAUACUUGAUGAGGCAGGUCUUUGCUCUCUAGAAUGUUCUCUGUGUGCUCUCUACUUAAAGGCGUAGCUAUGCUUUGAUUUUAAUUCUUCCACCUCCUUAAUUUGAACAUGUUCUUCAUAUUAAUGAGAGUAACCUCCCUGUAACUCAGUAACUCUCAAGGAUGGAGUCUUCCUUAGGGUUUUAUUGUUGCAAAGAGACACCAUGAACACAGCCACUCAUAAAAUAAAAUAUUUAAUUGGGGACUAGCUUAUGGCUUCAGAGGUUCAGUCAAUUGUCAUUAUGAUGGGAAGCAUGGCAGCUUGUAAGCAGACAUGGUUCAGGAGAAGGAGAUAAGAGUUCUAUACCUUGAUCUGAAGGCAACUGGGAGAGAGACUGUCUUCUAGGCACCUAGGUGGAUCUGAAUGCCUACCCCUACAGUGAGACACUUCCUUCCAACAAGGCCAUACCUCCUAAUAAUGGACCAACCAUAUUCGAACCACCACAGUGUCUAAUGCAAGCAUAAUCAUGUUGUUUCCUUAUGGUGAUAGACAAGGAGAUAGCAGAUGUUGCAGCAAGAUGGCAGGUUCUGAAGUCUGGAAGGCUUCAGUUAUAGUCCAUACUCUGAAACUUUGUGGCAUUAUAAUCCUUGCAGCACUGGGUUUGGCAUAUAUAAAAGGAUAUAUGGACUCUGGAAACACCAGAAAACUGUUUUAUCUGCCUUGAGAGUUGUGUAGUAAGAAGAAUAAGGUGUCUUUAUUCUCCACUCAACCUCUUGGCUCUUCUGUUUCUUGUAUCCUUGGCCACUUGUGACAUCAUCCACCCUCAUGGCUAUUGUUACAGCCAGUUUUGUGUGGACGACUCUGCUUUCUGCAUUGACCAUAUUCUUCUGCCUCACAUGUACAUAUGACAAUGGGACUUUGCCACACAUGGUUCUUUGGGAUCAUUUAUUUUUAUCUUUUAAACUGACUUUUCUUUAUUUUUGAGAAUUUUGUACAUCUAUACAAUGAAAAAUGAUAUUUACUGUUCCCCUUCCCUAUUCUAUUCCCCAGAUCUAUCCCAGUAUGCUCUCAACAUCAUGUAUUCAUAAAAAAUAACUCAUAGGUACAAGUAAUGGUACCAUAUGAGUAUGAGUGUAGCCUUUCUCUGAGCACCAUAGAAACCUUACUAGGAGUCACAUCUCCAAAGGAAAGUGACUCUGUCUUCCUCAGAAGCUACCAAUUACCAAUGCUCUUCAGUAAGGGGUAGGACCACAAAACAUUUUUUAUAGUUAGUUUCUUCUGUUAGAGUCCUAAUAAGACUUACAUGUAGCAUCUGUUAUGCCCUCAAGUCUCUGAUAACACCCUCCUCUUCUUGACCCAUAACUAGUUUUAUAAAUUAGAGUUCUAUAAAAUGACCUGUGUUCUGGACUUGCCUUAUUGUUUCCUGUUGUUAUUUCUGUAUUGUCUCUAUUUCAUAUUUCCUGACUUGAUUGAGAUUGAAUUUGAGGGCCAGAAAAUGUUCUUAGGGCAUCAUGUCACAAGGAUCCUUGUAACAUAUUGGCUCAAAUUUUCUAGACUUGUCAGUGGGCUCAGAAUGUCUCAAACUGAGUACCCCAGUUGGCCUUCUUCACCCUUAUCUUUUGUUUUUGCUUUUUGAGAUAGGGUCUUGUUGCAGGAAAUAUUAAAAAAGAAUGGCACAUUCCUGCCCUUGUACCAGCAACUCACUACCCCAGAGGCCUGGCCGGCCAUGUACUGGUGGACAAUGGCUGACCUGUUUUUAUCUCUCGGAGACUCUGACUCAGUGCUCCAAAAUCUCUCCAUCCUGCUCGCUAAGUUUCCACUGGUGGGUUGUUGCCACACCAACCCUGUGUUUCAAAUCCCCCAUGGCCUUUGUGGUGCACCUCAGGCAAACCCAGUCUUUGCCACUGUAUCUUUCUCUCUUGAACUCAGAGGAGCCACCAGGUGAAGGAAAACACAACACAAACAAGUUCAGAAACUCAGUCAUUGUGCGCUGCAACUAAAAUCCUAAUCUUGUAAACCUUAUUAAAUCUAAAUCCUCUGGUGGAGAAUCCUGACAGAUCCGCCAUUGAAACUGGGAGACACUGGCAGCUACAUCUUGUCCUUAUGCUAUCCCGUCCAAAAGGCCAUAACUCACUCCUCUUUCCUCUCUUUCUCUGUGCAGCCCAGAAGUCCCACCUACUCACCCAAUGAUUGACUUCUUUAUUAAUUAGGGGAUUGGGUCACAAGAAGUCACCUGGGUACAUGACUCACCCCUUGUCCGCAGUCCCCCCCAGGAGAGUGGAAUUAGCAUGCACCAGGCCCAUCCACAACAGGGUCUCAUAAUGCAGGGUAAUCUUAAAUUUACUACAUUGAACUUUGAUCUUCCUGUCUCUACUUCCCGUGGUCUGGGAUAUAGGUGAGUACCACUAUGCUUGGCUUCCCUUUUGGAUCCUCUCCCCCUUUCAGCAAAAAAAAGUUACCCUAUAUUUCUCCCCUAUUGCUCCAGUGAACCCUAGGUCAAUGGGAUGCUCAUGUUGGUCAGUCAUUUCUUCCUUCAUCCUCCUGGAUGAAAGACAGCUCUUGAUGUGGCCACUGAGAAGACAGUCAUGCAAGAUGGCAUAGCCAGAUCCAUCAACACCUCUGUUUCCACUCAUUCUCUGUCUUUUCCCUCUCUGGAAAGUUCAUCUGGGAAGCUACGCUGGAGCUUAGUGGCUGUCUUAGUCUAUACCACUUGGGAACUCAAAGUAAGUGCCUUCUAUACACAUAUAUAUUCUGACCUUUUGUAACUUGAGUCAGGGUCUUCCCAUGUAGCUCAGGCUGUCUUGGAAAUCAUUAGCUUAAGUUUGGUUCUCAACUCAUGAUCUUCUUGGGUUCAUUUCCUGAAUGCUAGCAUGACAGGUAUGUGUCAUCACAACUGGCCCCAACACAUUAGGUAAUAGCGGUUUUAUGUAUCAGUUCCAUAGCUUCCCUCCAUCAGCCGGUAUCGCUGCAUGAAUGAAAUGAUGUGAUGAUGGAGGGAUCCUGCUUUCUAAACUUUAUGAACUCUCAAGCCAUAGCCAAAUUCUGUUCUAAUUACAUCAGUUCUACCAGGUCUUAGAAGACCUCCUCUUGUUCUGAUUUUGCACUGUGUCAGCCAUGUGAAUUUGUUCAGGCCACUCAAUCUCUAUAAACCUCUGUGUAACUGGGAAUAGGAAUUUUUGUUUUUAAUGUGGUCAUCAUUAGCUUCUUCUGGCUGAUCAGUUAAGUGACAAAUAGGGAAUCUCUGUCCAAAUGAAAGACCUUGCUAUCCACAGCCACACAGUGGCAGCUUCCUGCCAAGCAGUGCUGUGUCAGGGGAUGCCACAAGAUGAUUUCCCACACACUGGAAGAAAGUUCCAAACAACAGCUUUGAAAGGAGUCCAAGAUGGGUUGAAAAACCUGACAUCCUGGAAGGUUGUUCCUGUUGCCUGCUAAUUAAUAUGUGAGGGAUAACAGCUGAGUUUUCCAUCCCUAACUCAUUUAUUUCAUUUUAUUUGGGGCCUGCACUUUUUGUACGUCUCAUAUAUUUUAGGUUUUACCUGGCUUUCAAAUAAAUUCCUUGUAAGUUGUCCUGCAAAUGAAAUUACUGUCUGGAAAACUGCAAUUUCAUCUUGAGAGUUUUAUUAUGCUAAUAAAUGUCAGAAUUCUCAAAUAAA